GACGAACGCUGGCGGCGUGCCUAACACAUGCAAGUCGAACGAGUGGCGGACGGGUGGGUAAUGUCUGGGAACCUGCCUGAUGGAGGGGGCUAACUACUGGAAACGGUAGCUAAUACUGCAUACCAUCAGAUGGGCCCAGAGGGGAUUAGCUGGUUGGUGGGGUAAAGGCUCACCAAGGCGACGAUCCCUAGCGGGUCGGAGAGGAUGACCAGCCACACUGGAACUGAGACACGGUCCAGACUCCUACGGGAGGCAGCAGUGGGGAAUAUUGCACAAUGGGCGCAAGCCUGAUGCAGCCAUGCCGCGUGUAUGAAGAAGGCCUUCGGGUUGUAAAGUACUUUCAGCGGGGAGGCGUUACCCGCAGAAGAAGCACCGGCUAACUCCGUGCCAGCAGCCGCGGUAAUAC
rnacentral:rRNA from 1 species